GAUUCUUAUCUUAAGGUAAUUCAUAUCUUUCUCUUCUUCCCCAGAAUUGUUAUUUCUUUGAGAUGUGUAUCAAGUAUAUGAAUGCACGUACACAACUUCUGCCAUGACUUUUUAGUAAAACUUUAAACAGAGAUUGAUUUUCUGUGCACCUCUCAUGCUUGGUUAAUCAGGAACACCAUGACACACACCCACACACACGCAUAUAUAUUCUUGCUAUGUGUUUAAUAUUCAUGUAGAAAUGUUAAGCGUGUGAUGAUAUACCCAAAUUCUACGUUUAUGAAU
rnacentral:misc_RNA from 1 species